UAUCCUACGGGACGCAGCAGUGAGGAAUAUUGGUCAAUGGCCGGAAGGCUGAACCAGCCAAGCCGCGUGAAGGACGAAGGUGCCAAGCAUUGUAAACUUCUUUUGUCAAGGGACAAAAUCAGGCUCGAGAGCCUGACCGAGGGUACUUGAAGAAAAAGCAUCGGCUAACUACGUGCCAGCAGCCGCGGUAAUACGUAGGGAGCGAGCGUUAUCCGGAAUUAUUGGGCGUAAAGGGUGCGUAGAUGGCAUAGUAAGUCUUUUGUAAAAAUGCUGGGCUCAACCCAGUAGGGCAAAAGAUACUGCAA
rnacentral:rRNA from 1 species